rnacentral:rRNA from 1 species
AAAUUGAAGAGUUUGAUCAUGGCUCAGAUUGAACGCUGGCGGCAGGCCUAACACAUGCAAGUCGAGCGGAAACGAGUUAUCAGAACCUUCGGGGAACGAUAACGGCGUCGAGCGGCGGACGGGUGAGUAAUGCCUAGGAAAUUGCCCUGAUGUGGGGGAUAACCAUUGGAAACGAUGGCUAAUACCGCAUGAU